CUCUCCAGCGGCCAUGUUAACCAGGAAACCUUCGGCCGCCGCUCCCGCCGCCUACCCGACCGGCCGAGGUGGGGACAGCGCCGUUCGUCAGCUUCAGGCUUCCCCGGGGCUCGGUGCAGGGGCCACCCGGAGCGGAGUGGGGACUGGCCCGCCCUCCCCCAUCGCCCUGCCGCCUCUCCGGGCCAGCAACGCUGCCGCCGCAGCCCACACGGGCCACACAGACUGUCAGAAUGUUUGAGGAGGAGCUAAAAUUCCAGUCUUUUUGGACUCAAUUCUAUUACCAUAAUACUAUACAGCAUUUCUAAGAUGACUUCAGAAAAGUUUUUAAAUGCCCAAGACUAUUAUCACAGUGAAAUAUCUGCUGUUUGCCGUUUUCUUAUUGGAAGAAAUGAAAACUACCAAACUGGUUAG
rnacentral:sRNA from 1 species